UGCUGCUGUGCCUGCUGGACACACUCCUCUUCUCAGACUUCCCUCUUAUCUGGCUUUGCAGAGCAAAAACAGCUCCUGGAGGUGGAAUUUUGGGGGGAAUCCAGGGAAGACUCAUGGACCUGUAGACUGACAAUGAGAACUUCUUGAACAUCUUCAAGUGAAAAUUUUUCUCAGAAGAGGAGGAAAAAGUGGUAAAAGACCAGAAUUUCAACAAACCAACCCCAAGUUCUCCUAAACAAUUUGUGGAUUUUGAGGCAUGUGGGAAUAGAUCUUCUUUAGACA